GUUUGCCAGCAAGAUCUGGAAAAGCCAGUCUGCAGAAGCUGUUCCAGGAUUUGUUUGCUGCCUCCCCCACAGUAAAAGGGAUGGCAAUAGCAAAGCAUUAACCCAUCUUCAGCACUGGGACCUGGGGUGACCGCCUAGGCCCACAUCCAUGGCGCCAGGCCUCCCUGGAAACCACACGACCCCCAAAACAAACUCCUUCCUUACCUGGGAGAUUCCAUAGUCAAGUAGCCCGGCAGGUGGGCAUCACGCCCCUUUAACCUGAGAGGAGGAUGAGGCUCUGAGAGCAACGGAGUAACAUGCAGAAGGUCCCACAGCAACUGACUAGCGUGCAGAGACCAGGAUCUGGGCCCACAGGUCUCUUCAAUUUCAGCACAAGCUGCUCCUAACCCGGCCUGCAAGGAGCCCUUUCUGACCCAGGACAGGGCUCAGUGUCAUCGCUGUGCUGACUUUCUCCCUCACACGCGAUCCUGUCCCAGCCACGGUUUCCCCGGUCUGUCACCUAAGACAGCAAUUCUUCCAGCUUCACGAAGCCACCCUGUGUGGUGGGGGGAGAGAGGACGGCCGCUACUGGCAAGGAAGGCACUGAACACUGCCGGGGGCACCCAGCCCCUCUGGCCACCACCCCACCGCUCCCCACCCUCACUCCUUCCAGGGAACACCCCGCUCCCAAGCCACGCAGGGGCUCCCUUAGGGAGCCAAUGCACCGCAGCAACGUAGGUGCCAAGGGUAUGGGCCAAGGACAGACGGACAGACACACGCCUGCACAAACGCAUACCCCUUGCCCAGGAGCCUGUGAAGAAUAAUAGUGAACUCCUGCCUGGGGCCGGGGGUAGGGGACACCCCGGACCCAAACUGGGGCUCUGACCCAAGUCCAGCUCCUUGCCCUGGACCUUCUUUCUUGUCGUUGGCUUGUCCCAAGGUCUUCCUCCAGGAGACACCUAUUAUAAAUCUAAGCUUCUUUGAGCAUCUAAUACUGCUGAAAAGACACACAGAGUAACUGCCAACAGCGCCUCCCUCAGCGGAGGGAGGCUGGAGCCCAGGGCCGGGAAAGAGCCUGACUGACUCUCCACUGAGUAACUUUUCAUUGCUACUUGAUUUUUGAAAAAUCAUGCACAUGUAAUAGGUUUUUAAAAAUUAAAAUACUCUACCCCUGGGAUGGAGUGAUGGUGAAGGGCUUUGCUCGCUGUGCUAAGGACUUUGGACCCGAUCCUGUCGGCAAUAAGGAGCCAGGGAAGCUUUCUAAGCAGGGGACAUGGUGCACUCAGAUGUGAAGAAGCGUUGACUGCUACAGAGCGUGGCCUGCAGUGGGCGGAGACUGAAGCCACCAGGAGACCAGGGGAGGAUGGGGCCCUUCCUUUUUUGUGUGUCUAGCCUGAAGCAGGGACCCACGGAUUGUGGGUCCACAAUAUGGUACCCACAGAGAAGUAAGUGACCCCAAAGGACAUGAGACAACCAAGGCAGGCCCAUCGAGUUAACUGUCACCUCUUUGUCCCCAAAACAAGCUUGUAGGGCUGAUGUUCCCCAUGGAAAUUAAAACCCCUUCUGCUUUCUGCCCACCUCUGUUCAAACAAAGCUGAGACAGAGGGGACUUGUUCUUUAGUGGAGGUCGGGGGUAGCUGGCAGCUGAGGGAGGCUUCAGAGGGGCAGCCUUGCCCCAGAAGCCCUGCUUGGACACACCUCUUCGACAGCACCACCAUGUGUCCCCAGAACACUGAGCCUAGGAAAUGCCCUCUCUUCGUGGCUUCCCCAUGUCCCUCCUGUGGACAGCUUUGCUCGCUGGCUCGGCCAGGCUCCCACAGAGACGCCAGGAGAUGGGGACAGGGCUGGGGCAUGGGGCUCAAGGGCUGAGUAGUCUGGGUUUCCUGAGCCCUGCAGAUCAGAAGUCAGAGGCCCUCUGCAGACAGCAACAUGGGAGUCGGUGGGGUUGGGGGCAGUCCAAGCGCCAGGCCAGUCUGGGUUUGACUUGUGUACCAAGGAUGGAUGGAUGGAUGGCCUUGGGUGUUUAUUAACCUGUCUGUGAGAUGGAACUCAGCACACCCUCGUCAUGGGCUGGACGAAAACUUGGCUACCCAGCACGUCACACAGCACCAGCAUGCCACUUGUCUCUCUCAGCUCCCUCUUUAGCAGUGGGGAGAGAGUGCCAGGCAGACAUGGGUGACGGGGAGACAGGAGAGAAACUCCAAGCUCAAGGGAAGGUGGGAGGAGUCUUGGUGGAUAUUCUCUUCUCUCUCACUACUUACUUUUAUGCCCAGAUGGUUGCUUAUCUGUCUUUAAACCAGAAGUUUCCCCCUGACAUAUGUGACUCAGUUGGUUGGGCAUUGUCCUGCAAAGCGUAAGGUUGUGGGUUUGAUUCCUGGUCAUAGCACAUGCCUGGGUUUUAGGUUCAAUUCCUUGUCAGGACAUGCACG